rnacentral:rRNA from 1 species
GAUUGAAUGGCUCAGUGAGGCCUUCGGACUGGCUCUCGGCGGUCGGCAACGACCGCCUCGAGCCGGAAAGUUGGUCAAACUUGGUCAUUUAGAGGAAGUAAAAGUCGUAACAAGGUUUCCGUAGGUGAACCUGCGGAAGGAUCAUUACCAAAUCAUGCGAACCCUGCUUAGGCUGGGAACGCUUCAACCCUUUGUGAACCAAAAAAACUUUUUCGCUUCGGUUAGCUGGGGAGCUCUGUUGGGGUUAACACUUUGACCUGCUCUCCGUAAGCCUGCCGACGGCACAACUUAAACUUGCAUUUAAACUAAUGUCUGAACACCAAAUUUUCGAAUGAAAAUUAAAACUUUCAACAACGGAUCUCUUGGUUCUCGCAUCGAUGAAGAACGCAGCGAAACGCGAUAGUUAAUGUGAAUUGCAGAAUUCAGUGAAUCAUCGAGUCUUUGAACGCACAUUGCGCCCAUUGGUAUUCCAUUGGGCAUGUCUGUUUGAGCGUCAUUACAACCCCUCAGCGCAAGCUGGUAUUGAGCCUGGUUCCGGAAACGGGCCCAGGUUUUAAAGUUGUAAGCUCUGCUGGCUGCUACGCCCGAACGAAAAACAUAGUAAAAUUUACAUUGUUUAUAUAAUUAAGGUGUGCAGGUUGGCCUGAACAAAACCUACCAAACUUCUAAGGUUUGACCUCAGAUCAGACAAGGAUACCCGCUGAACUUAAGCAUAUCAAUAAGCGGAGGAAAAGAAACCAACAGGGAUUGCCUCAGUAACGGCGAGUGAAGCGGCAAAAGCUCAAAUUUGAAAUCUGGAGUUUUUAACUUCCGAGUUGUAAUUUGAAGAGGAUGUUUCGGUUGCGGCUUGGGCCCAAGUUCCUUGGAACAGGACGUCAUGGAGGGUGAGAAUCCCGUACGUGGCUACCGGCUUGCUUCUAUGUGAAACUCCUUCGAAGAGUCGAGUUGUUUGGGAAUGCAGCUCAAAAUGGGUGGUAAAUUUCAUCUAAAGCUAAAUAUUGGCGAGAGACCGAUAGCGCACAAGUAGAGUGAUCGAAAGAUGAAAAGCACUUUGAAAAGAGAGUUAAACAGUACGUGAAAUUGUUGAAAGGGAAGCGCUUGCAAUCAGACUCACUUUCAGUUGAUCAACGUUCCUUCUGGUUCGUGCACUCUGCUGUUUGUGGGCCAGCAUCAGUUAAAGCGGCAGGACAAAGGUUUUGGGAAUGUGGCUCCCCUCGGGGAGUGUUAUAGCCCAUUUCGUAAUGCUGCCAGCUUUGAUUGAGGUCCGCGAUUCGUCUAGGAUGCUGGCUUAAUGGUUGUAAGCGGCCCGUCUUGAAACACGGACCAAGGAGUCUAACAUCUAUGCGAGUCUUUGGGUGUCAAACCCAUGGGCGAAAUGAAAGUGAACGGAGGUGGGAGUCUUCGGAUGCACCAUCGACCGAUCCUGAUGUUCUCGGAUGGAUUUGAGUAGGAGCAUAGCUGUUGGGACCCGAAAGAUGGUGAACUAUGCCUGAAUAGGGUGAAGCCAGAGGAAACUCUGGUGGAGGCUCGCAGCGGUUCUGACGUGCAAAUCGAUCGUCAAAUUUGGGUAUAGGGGCGAAAGACUAAUCGAA